rnacentral:lncRNA from 1 species
AAAAACAUGUUUCUCAACUAGAGAGGAACAGAAUGGACAAGUGGAAACAUUCUCAAAUAAGUCCAACACAACAAGGUCGUCAGCUGUAAGAAUGAGAGCAACAGUAUUAAAAACUGGAGGUCCUGAAGCAGCUCAGGGAGGAAGAAUGAGAAGAAUAUAUCCAGGCUGAUCCAUCAAUCCCAGAAGGAGAACAAGAAACACAUGGAGCAGAGCUAAGUUACCCAGCCUAGCUCAGCCUAGAUCAGCAUCCUGUAACAGGCCCCCAGCCUUGUGGGCUAAAUAAA